rnacentral:sRNA from 1 species
GCAAGGGGUGGACGAGAACGCGAGAACUGCGACUUAAUCGGAGGGUGGACGUCAUCGGUGGACCUUAUGGGAAGAAAGUUUGAUAUUGGUUGCCCAAUUGAUGACCUAGUACGUCUAUCAAUACCAAUGUUACCAACAAGCCUCCAACACAUGUCGUUGAUGACAUCCUUAACAAAUUGAUUUCACCUGUUCACAACGACAAACCUGAAGGCAGUGGAUCAAACAAGAAUAUUAAAAGUGGAACAAAUUGAGGACUUUCAUAAUUUGUUAAUUUGUAUUUCAGUUUUAUCAUUGUUGUCAGUUUCGAAUAUUGUCCGUGUUUACAUGGAUUUGUUAUGUAGUACUAUUAGUGAAGUACUAAAGUCAGGUUCAUGAAUGUGUUGCUGCAUUAAGUGGUAAUGUAAUGUAUGUUAUGUUCUAAGUUUUAUAUGAUGUUUUUUU